UCAUCCAAUGGGUAUUCUUCUGGCUAUUCUGAAUACCGUGCUGUGUGUAUGCAUGCGUGUGUGUGUGUGUGUGUGUGUGUGUGUGUGGUUCAUUUUAUAAACUAACAAAACUAUUUUAUGUGUGUGUAUGUUUUGCCCACACGUAUGUUUGUGCACAACUUGUGUGCUUGGUGCCCACAGCAUCCAGAAGAGAGUGCUGGGACCCCUGGAACUAGAAUUGCAGUUGGCUGUGAGCUGCUAUAAACACUCUAUUAUUCUGGGGAUUGUAUCCUGGUCUUUGUACAACUUAAAUCUGAGAAAAAGGCAUGAGAAGAAUUUGAACCAUGAGGGAUUUGAAGAACAGGGCAAAGGAUGUUGGAUGUGGAAGGGGCCAGGGCUGCCUUCAGACCUAGUGAGGUGGCAGGCAGCAGGGGAAGCUGUCCUGCUUACUCUUCUAUCCCUGCGGUCCCCAGAGAAAUAGUUUAUAUUAUUAUCCUACAGAGGAGAUGCUCAAGUCUCCAAGAAACUGCCCGAGACCCACCCAAGGUCCUGCUGCUCUUGACAAACUACACCAAUGCUCCUGUUCUUUCCACUACCUCAUAAGCCACACAACACAGAUUGGAACUGAUGCCUACAAGUUAUGAGAUUGGGUGCUUGCUCCACUUCUGCCAGAGGAAAACCCUCUUUAAAGAAUCGAUAGGUUAGGGCUGGCAAGAUGGCUCAACUGGUAGUAAAUACACUUGCUGCCAAGCCUAAUGUAAUGACCUGUAUUCAACCUACAGAGCCCACAUAGUAGGGGAUGGCACACACACACACACACACACACACACACACACACACACACACCGUGAAAACUAAAAACAAUAGGUUAAACAGUUUUGGUCAGCUCAUCAUAUAAUGUUUUGUGCACCCUUUAAAAUCAGUUAACACGGGACUGGAGAGAUGGCUCGGUGGUUAAGAGCACUGGUUAAGCUGCUCUUCCAAAGGACCCAGGUUCCUAUCCCAGCACCCACACGAUGGCUCAUGGCCAUCGGUAACUUUAGUAUUAGGUAAUCCUAUGUCCCCUUCUAGCCUCCGCGGACACUGCGUACACGUGGUACACAGACAUAAUGUAGGCAAAAUAGUCAUACUCAUAAAAUAAAAUAAAUAAAUCUUAAAUAAAAUAAAAUGAAAAAUCAGUUAACAGCUGGAGAUAGCUUGAGUUCUUGCUUUAUAAUCCUUUCUUCUUCUAGUCAGCUCAUUCUGAAUCUGAUUGUUGAUUGAAGAGCCUUUCCCAGAAGUUCAGACCCCCAAUUUUUAAUUGUUUUUAUUGAUUUAUAU